rnacentral:rRNA from 1 species
UACAGAGGUGGCAAGCGUUGUUCGGAAUUACUGGGCGUAAAGCGCACGUAGGCGGCUUUGUAAGUUAGAGGUGAAAGCCCGGGGCUCAACUCCGGAAUUGCCUUUAAGACUGCAUUGCUAGAGUAUGGGAGAGGGAAGUGGAAUUUCCGGUGUAGCGGUGAAAUGCGUAGAUAUCGGAAGGAACAUCAGUGGCGAAAGCGACUUCCUGGACCAAUACUGACGCUCAUGUGCGAAAGCGUGGGGAGCAAACAGG